CCUAAAAAAUCUAAAUCUUAUUUUCUCUUCUUCUCUUCUCUUCUUCAUCCUCUUCACACCUUCUUCUUCUUUCUCCCUAGGGUUAAGAGUAACGAGAAGCUAAGAUUUUGGCUAAGCAGCCAUGAGUGAGUUGAGAGAGAACGAACUGAAGUUGCGAUAAAGUGUUUGAGCUUGUCGACGAUGGUGGUAAAGGCUGGGUGCGAUCGACCGUAUAAAGAGUGCCAACGAGUGUCGUGGAGGCUAGAGAGGCAGAGUAAUCGCUGUGGGGAAAAGGUGGAGGAGGGAAAGGUGCGGUGCGACAGAUGAAGAUCUCGUGACUCUUCAAGGCAUGGCGGAGGCGUCUCUUUCUAUUAAUCUCGCCGAACCAGGGAAGAUUGAAGAGAUAGAGCUUCCUACUCCUAAAGUGGAUGUGAUUAUUUCUGAAUGAAUGGGUUACUUUUUGUUGUUUGUAAACAUGUUGGACAGUGUCUUAUACGCUCGUAAUAAAUGGCUUGUUGAUGGUGGAGUUGUGCUACCAGACAAAGCCUCCCUGCAUCUUACCAGAUAGGAAGGGUAUCAGAUUUGUGGAAUAAAGGAUUUGCAGAUCUCUCAAGACCAUAAGAGUUUUGUGUGACCUUUGAGAGGUUUGGACAUGUGAGAGAUGUCUAUCUUCCCCUAAGAUAAGUGAGCUUCUUUCCAAAGGAUAAGUGACAUGACUUUUAUGCUGGUGCUUACAAGGCAUAUUCAUUUGGUUUUUAAUGUUUCAGAUCAUACGUUCUUAAUUUGUAGCAAGAACAAGAGCAAGUCUUCAACAAUGAAGCACUAUUUGGAUUUUCACAUGGAUAAAGAACUAGAACAGUUGUAUACCAUUUGGAGAGCAAAGUGGUUGUGGGAUUUUGCGGGAAGAAGAAGUAGAGAUCAAUUAUGGAUCAGCUGGUGGACUCUUUAAGCAAGAAGAGGAGCAUAUAGAUGACUACUCAUGAAGGCUGUAAGCUUUAGAUUUUUUUUUUUUUUGAUGUAGUUAGUUUAUUGUCUUUGAUAGAAUUUGUGAUUGUCGAUAGGAGAAGUUUGUUUCUCUUUGUGGGUUGUUUUGAGACACUUGUUGCAAUGUUAGGAUUGAGGAAUGAUAUGUAUGGUAUUUUGAGUCUUCUAUAUAUAAAGUUCUUAUAAAUUUAA